GUCUCUGUGGCGCAAUCGGUUAGCGCGUUUGGGUAUUAAUCAAAAGGCUGGUGGUUUGAUCCCAGCCAGGGACG